rnacentral:rRNA from 1 species
CACCGCGGUUAUACGAGAGGCUCCAGUUGACAGUCACGGCGUAAAGAGUGAUUAAGGCGAAUCUUGAACUAAGGCCGAAGACCCCCUCAGCCGUUAUACGCGUUUUGGAGGUGUUAAGCUCACCCACGAAAGUGGCUUUACCAUGAACCACCUGACUUCACGAUAGCCGAGAAA